UUUGUUCCACAGAAUCCCUUUGAAGGCAUUGUCUUGGCCUUCAGCCUGCAACCUCUCAUCAUUGGAUUCAGACAGCAGAUAAGAGGGUGGCAGCUGGUUGUAAAGAAGCAAUUACUGCUGUUCUCACCACCAGUUUCUAAGAGUUCCUCUAUCUGGUUUAAGUUGGCCUUGGACUGUACAACCCACGGUGGCCUCUGACUCACAGCAAUCCUCCUUCCUCAAGCUUCCACAUACUAGGAUUACAGCAGUUUGCCACUAUGCCUAGCUAUUUUGCUAUGUUUUAGACGCUGUUGAAAAUUAGCUUAGGGUUUUCUAUAUUUCCAACAUAUAAUCACAAAAUAAGAACUGGGGAUCAAAAGAUGACUUUGAAACUCUGUAUAACUUUUAGGAUCUCUUCCUGCACAAGAAGUUCUCAACUGAGGCUAUUUCUUCCUCCUGAAGACAUAUGUGGCAGUGACCUGACAACAAAGAAUUACAUGUUCCCAAAUGUUAAUAGUGCCAAGUCUGUUAAGGACUCAUAUUUGGGAAUCCUACUGAGGAUAGAGAUUAUGCCUCAUUAGUGUUUGUUUUCUGAAGAACAACACUUGCUUCUCAUAUCCUCCAAAAGCUAAUGAGAUUCCUUCCAGCAGCCUAGCAUUAUUGUCAGGUACAUUUAUAAAAUUAAAAUCCUUCAAAAAUCUA